rnacentral:rRNA from 1 species
GACGAACGCUGGCGGCGUGCUUAACACAUGCAAGUCGUACGGUAAGGCCCUUUCGGGGGUACACGAGUGGCGAACGGCUGAGUAACACGUGAGUAACCUGCCCACAACUUUGGGAUAACGCUAGGAAACUGGUGCUAAUACUGGAUAUGUGCUCCUGCUGCAUGGUGGGGGUUGGAAAGCUCCGGCGGUUGUGGAUGGACUCGCGGCCUAUCAGCUUGUUGGUGGGGUAGUGGCCUACCAAGGCGGCGACGGGUAGCCGGCCUGAGAGGGUGACCGGCCACAUUGGGACUGAGAUACGGCCCAGACUCCUACGGGAGGCAGCAGUGGGGAAUAUUGCACAAUGGGCGCAAGCCUGAUGCAGCAACGCCGCGUGCGGGAUGACGGCCUUCGGGUUGUAAACCGCUUUCAGCAGGGACGAAGCUUUUUGUGACGGUACCUGCAGAAGAAGCACCGGCUAACUACGUG